GAAGGGACUUACUCUUCGGAGUGAGAGCGUACACAGGUGCUGCAUGGCUGUCGUCAGCUCGUGUCGUGAGAUGUUGGGUUAAGUCCCGCAACGAGCGCAACCCUGCAUUCAGUUGCCAUCGGUAAGGCCGGGCACUCUGGAUGGACUGCCGGCGACAAGCCGGAGGAAGGUGGGGACGACGUCAAGUCAUCAUGGCCCUUAUGUCCAGGGCGACACACGUGCUACAAUGGCCGGCACAACGGGAAGCGAAGGGGCGACCCUGAGCGGAUCCCACAAAAGCCGGUCUCAGUUCGGAUUGCAGUCUGCAACUCGACUGCAUGAAGUUGGAAUCGCUAGUAAUCGUGGAUCAGCCAAGCCGCGGUGAAUACGUUCCCGGGCCUU
rnacentral:rRNA from 1 species